AUGGCUCAGAUUGAACGCUGGCGGCAGGCUUAACACAUGCAAGUCGAGCGGGGAAGGGUAGCUUGCUACCUAACCUAGCGGCGGACGGGUGAGUAAUGCUUAGGAAUCUGCCUAUUAGUGGGGGACAACAUUCCGAAAGGAAUGCUAAUACCGCAUACGCCCUACGGGGGAAAGCAGGGGAUCUUCGGACCUUGCGCUAAUAGAUGAGCCUAAGUCAGAUUAGCUAGUUGGUGGGGUAAAGGCCUACCAAGGCGACGAUCUGUAGCGGGUCUGAGAGGAUGAUCCGCCACACUGGGACUGAGACACGGCCCAGACUCCUACGGGAGGCAGCAGUGGGGAAUAUUGGACAAUGGGCGAAAGCCUGAUCCAGCCAUGCCGCGUGUGUGAAGAAGGCCUUUUGGUUGUAAAGCACUUUAAGCGAGGAGGAGGCUACUUAGAUUAAUACUCUAGGAUAGUGGACGUUACUCGCAGAAUAAGCACCGGCUAACUCUGUGCCAGCAGCCGCGGUAAUACAGAGGGUGCGAGCGUUAAUCGGAUUUACUGGGCGUAAAGCGUGCGUAGGCGGCUUUUUAAGUCGGAUGUGAAAUCCCUGAGCUUAACUUAGGAAUUGCAUUCGAUACUGGGAAGCUAGAGUAUGGGAGAGGAUGGUAGAAUUCCAGGUGUAGCGGUGAAAUGCGUAGAGAUCUGGAGGAAUACCGAUGGCGAAGGCAGCCAUCUGGCCUAAUACUGACGCUGAGGUACGAAAGCAUGGGGAGCAAACAGGAUUAGAUACCCUGGUAGUCCAUGCCGUAAACGAUGUCUACUAGCCGUUGGGGCCUUUGAGGCUUUAGUGGCGCAGCUAACGCGAUAAGUAGACCGCCUGGGGAGUACGGUCGCAAGACUAAAACUCAAAUGAAUUGACGGGGGCCCGCACAAGCGGUGGAGCAUGUGGUUUAA
rnacentral:rRNA from 1 species